GACAUAGGUCGCAAACGUUAUCCGGAAUUAUUGGGCGUAAAGGAUGCGUAGAUGGUUCAGUAAGUUACUGGUGGGAAAUCGAGGCCCAACCUCGUGGAAGUUAGUAAUACUGUUGAACUUGAGUGCAGGAGAGGUUAACGGAACUUCAUGUGGAGCGGUAAAAUGCGUAGAUAUAUGAAAGAACAUCAAUAUGGCGAAGGCAGUUAACUAUUCUGCUACUGACAGUGAGGCAUGAAAGCGUGGGGAGCAAACAGG
rnacentral:rRNA from 1 species